CGACGAGACGGUUCCUCUUGCUACACGACAACCGAUGCCCAACUGCUCAUCCUUCGCUCACAGUGUGCCAACAAACUGGGAUAUUCUCAAGCAGCAAUACAGGAUGCCGAAAACGCUUUGUAUAUCAACGGAUACUCCAUCCCUGCCAGGGUCGAGUUAGUCAAAGCCAAGUACGCAUUUGCCUGUGCAGAAGGGGGUCAAUGUCUGGUGGAAUUCCAAGAAUUCUUGCUCUAUCAAGUCCCACAAAAGGUUAAAGAAAAUCCAGAAGUGGGGAAUAUCAUACGACAGUUUGAAGCC